UACGGAGGGUGCGAGCGUUGUCCGGAAUUACUGGGCGUAAAGCGUGCGCAGGCGGUUGUGCAAGACCGAUGUGAAAUCCCCGAGCUUAACUUGGGAAUUGCAUUGGUGACUGCACGGCUAGAGUGUGUCAGAGGGGGGUAGAAUUCCACGUGUAGCAGUGAAAUGCGUAGAGAUGUGGAGGAAUACCGAUGGCGAAGGCAGCCCCCUGGGAUAACACUGACGCUCAGGUGCGAAAGCCAGGGGAGCGAACGGG
rnacentral:rRNA from 1 species